rnacentral:rRNA from 1 species
UACGUAGGGGCCUAGCGUUGUCCGGAUUUAUUGGGCGUAAAGAGCUCGUAGGCGGUUCGGUAAGUCAGGUGUGAAAUCUCCACGCUCAACGUGGAGGCGCCACCUGAAACUGCCGUGACUCGAGUCCGGUAGGGGAGUGUGGAAUUCCUGGUGUGAGCGGUGAAAUGCGCAGAUAUACAGGGAGAACCACGUGGCGAAGGCGGCAGCCGUCUGG